rnacentral:tRNA from 1 species
GCGCGCUUAGCUCAGCGGUAGAGCACCAGUAUCACACACUGGGGGUCGUAGGUUCAAAUCCUGCAGCGCGCACCA